GGCAGUCCCGGGUCCCCACCUUAUCUGCUGAGUCACAUCCCAAUGCCAAGGCUCAAAUAGUUAUCUUGAGUGAGGAUAUAGAAAAAUACAAUUUUUGCAUUUUUGUUUUUUUUUUGGAAUGCUGAAAAUACCUAGAAGAAAGGACAUCUCAGUCUCCCUGAAGAUUCCAGCAUGAGAAAGAGGUUUAUGAAUAUCAUCUCCCACCAAGAAGAACCAGGGACCUUGGAGAAAUGGUCCAGAGGAAUCCUUAUGGCUCAAGGGGCAAUCAGUCCCCAUGAGAUGACGUUCCUUACUCGGCAGGGACACUGCCUUUAUUUUCAUCAUGGGAAGAUCACAAGAAGGCG
rnacentral:lncRNA from 1 species